rnacentral:rRNA from 1 species
UACGGGGGGGGCAAGCGUUGUUCGGAAUUACUGGGCGUAAAGGGCUCGUAGGCGGCCAACUAAGUCGGAUGUGAAAUCCCCAGGCUUAACCUGGGAACUGCAUCCGAUACUGGAUGGCUUGAAUCCGGGAGAGGGAUGCAGAAUUCCAGGUGUAGCGGUGAAAUGCGUAGAUAUCUGGAGGAAUACCGUGGCGAAGGACGGCAUCCUGGACCGGCAUGACGCUGAUGAGCGAAAGCUAGGG